rnacentral:rRNA from 1 species
CGGGCCUACGGGAGGCAGCAGUGGGGGAUAUUGCACAAUGGGGGGAACCCUGAUGCAGCGACGCCGCGUGGGUGAAGGAGCGUUUCAGCGCGUAAAGCCCUAUCGGCAGGGAAGAAGAUGACGGUACCUGACCAAGAAGCCCCGGCUAACUACGUGCCAGCAGCCGCGGUAAUACGUAGGGGGCAAGCGUUAUCCGGAAUUACUGGGUGUAAAGGGAGAGUAGGCGGCAAGGUAAGCGAUAUGUGAAAGCCUUAAGCUUAACUUAAGGAUGGCAUAACGAACUAUCUAGCUAGAGUACAGGAGAG